rnacentral:tRNA from 1 species
CGGCGCGUAGCUCAACCGGAUAGAGCAGCCGCCUUCUAAGCGGCAGGUUUUGGGGUUCGAGUCCCUCCGCGCCGGCCA